GACGCACGCUGGCGGCGUGCUUAACACAUGCAAGUCGAACGAACUGGCGAACGGGUGAGUAAUACGUGAGUAACCUGCCCUCCUUUUUGGGAUAAGCCUUGGAAACGGUGUCUAAUACCGAAUAAAGGGGGAUGGACUCGCUGCCUAUCAGCUUGUUGGUGGGGUGGUGGCCUACCCAGGCGGUGACGGGUAGCCGGCCUGAGAGGGUGACCGGCAAUAUUGGGACUGAGAUACGGCCCAGAUGCCUACGGGAGGCAGCAUUGGGGGAUAUUGAACAAUGCGCGAAAGGCUGAAGCAGCGAGGCGGCGUGGGGGAUGAAGGCUCUCGGGUUGUAAACCUCUUUAGUGAGCGAACGGUUAGGUGGAGAAGAAGCGCGGGCUAACUACGUGCCAGCAGCCGCGGUAAUUC
rnacentral:rRNA from 1 species